rnacentral:lncRNA from 1 species
UUAUGUUCAAGGCUCGACAAUUGUUUAUGAAUGAUUUCAAGUCCAAUUUCAAGUAUUUGGGACUUGAUUAAUUAUCCGAAAAGUGAUUCUUUUAUCGAUUUUAAUUCCGAAAAAUGUUUAAAAAUUCCAGAAAAUUCUCGAAAAAUCAUUUUAAACCCAGGAAUUGAUUUGACAUCAAUUGGGAUGGGAGACUUAAUGUGUAAUGUGUUGUCUGCUAUCGGUGUAGGGUAUUAUAUGUUGAGAGCGGAGUCAGAAAACGGUUUUGACCAUAACUUUUGAUCCGUAAGUCGGAAUCGAGUGAAACGAAAGAGAGAUGAAAGCUUAUAAAGUCUAUUUUAAUAUGACAUAAUAAUAUGAUGGAGUCGAGAAUGUGAAUAAUUGUUGUUAAAUGUGCAGAAUGUGAUUAUAUGUUAUUUGAUUGCUAUUAAUCGAUGAUUACGUGAUAUAUAUGUUUAUGCUCGAUAUUAUAUACAUGAUAAAUGACUUAUAUGACAUAGUGUCAUGAUUGAUUAGUAUUGGAUAAGGACAUAUGGAUUAUAGGAAUUGGAAUUGGUUGAUUGGUUGUUGAUUGAGAAUAGGUUGACAGGUGGAUAGUCGUAUAAAGAGACGAAACGCUGUCAAAUUAUCGAUAGGAUUUGUAUGAUAAUUGAUUUGUGAUAUGUUAGGUGGAAUAUGACUUGACUAUAUGAUAGAGUCAAAGCAUGAUUACGUGUUAAGUGAUAUGUGAUAAGUUUAAAAGGGUUAUAUAAGUGGGUAUCGAUAUACGCGAUAUGUAUAUGCGAUAUAUUGUUUAGUGACUAUAGUAUUAUCUUAUUCUCGUUAAGGAUUUGGACGAGACGUGGAUGACCGAAGACGUUCAGAAGGACAAGUGGUAUUGCAAAGCGAAUAAGGGAUGAAUCGAGUAAGCGAAACGAUGUGGCGAAUAGAGUACGGCUAGAGAUGGUCUAGAAAUUAUGAGAUGCAUAGAUUGUGAAAGUGGAAAGAUGAGAUAGAGAUGUGAGACUGGAGUCAGAUUUAAGGCAAGUAUCCUAAACCCUUCUCUUGGAUAUAUUGCAAAUAUUCUGAUCCAUUCCUUUGGUAUCUGUUGCAAGAAUUCGUACCUUUCCUUUCUAUAUUUAAAAGUGCAUAUGUUCGGAUCUAUUCUUUCUAUUCUUCAAGUUUCUAAAGAAUUUCCGUUUUAUUAAUUAAUUCGAAGUUCAGAUUGUCAUUGAAGCAUGUGUUGCUCAGUGAUAGUUAGAGCUUUGAAUGAAUUGGGAUCUUCUUGAUUAUUCAACCCGCCAUUGUCAUGCUGGUUUAGCAGGCUAAAUUCAGUUGCUUAGCCGAUAAUGGAGGAUACUGAAUAGUUGAGGAUUUCCUGAACUAUGAUUUAUGAAAGGAUGGACUGUGACUUAUGAAAAGUUUAUUAUCAAAGUUUGAUUUGGAAUUAUUCAGUUGUUGAUGAUGAUUAUGAUUAUGUUCUGUUAAUUUACAUUGGCUUCUUUAAUUGAAUUAGAGAAUUGGAUUAUUGUUUUUAUAUAAACCUGUGGACCAGAUUCGUGGUCAUGUUAGGCCAAUGAGUGCCUUGGAUCCAGUGAUAGAGCAUGGCGGGGCCUGCUCGGGGUUAGUGCGGAACUGAUCAGCUGCCUAACCUUGGUUUUAAUUAAAAUGUGAUAGUCCAAUUCAAUAAUUCUUUUGGAAAGAUUGAAUUCCUCAGUGUUCAAUUGCUACAAGGUAUUGUGAUUUUCUUAUACAAGACCUAAACUCGUGAACUCAGGUUGAAUCCUUUUAUAUCUUGAACUCGUGAACUUCUGUUAUAUCAUUUCAGAAUUAUCAUUGUUUAUUAUUACUUGCUGAGCAUUGUUGCUCACCCUUGCUAUUCCUUUCUAACCAUUUCAGAAAGGCUUAAAGAUGAGAUGAUUGAUUGAGAUUGUGAGUAAGGCUAAUGCUAGGCGAGGAGACAGAGGUGGCUAGACUGUGAUGGUUGCUGAGCAUUGUUGCUCACUCUUGCUAUUCCUUUCUUAAUCAUUUCAGAAAGGAUUAAAGAUGAAUGGCUAGUCUAUGAUUGCGAGUAAAGUUAAGGCUAGGCGAGGAGUCAGAGGUGUUAAGGAUCCAGUGGUCGAGAAGUGACCAGGAAGAUUGAUAAGGUUGAUGCUAGCUCGAGUUGUGCUAUUGAGAUUCAGAUGUAAG